rnacentral:lncRNA from 1 species
GGUCACCCCGCUCAGGCCACCCAACUGGAGCUCAGGGAUUCCGCCCACAAGUUACCCCUGGGUCUCUUGAAACAUUUUGCAGAAUGAAAACUGGAUUUUUUUUUUUAAAAUUUUACAUUGUAUCUGGGGUCUGCUCUCAGUGAGUGUUCAAGGUGUACAGCAGCACAGUGUGUCCCUAAGUGAGGGACAGUGUUAUUUGUAGCCAACAUUUUAUAUGGUGCCUUGUGAGUCAGGAGCUCCGGAAGCUUCCAGAGGAGCUGGGACCAGGAAGAGAGGGCAGAGCGCAGCUCCUUCCCGUUGGAGGUGUGCUGACAGGCCACUGCAUCGAUUACAGCCAGCCAGCCGGUGGACUAACCAGUGGGCUGACCGGAGAGGGAGAGUCAGUGGGAAGCGAUGUUAUCAGGUGUUAAUUGGAGACCUAGCCUGGCGGUGACUCUUUAUCUCUGUCUGGUCUCACCUCUGCCCUGCCCUGCCUAGGCAGGCCUGGGGGAAGGGAUGCGGCUGUGCUCUCCCGGAGAGGCCUGGACGUAAACAGGGAAUCAGAGCUGGGGCUUGGCCAAGGACCAGGUCAGACGUGUCAGUGGGAGAGUGUUCCAGCUCUUGGGAAAGCACUGUCCUCCUUGUUCAAAACAGCCGUGUUCCUGGGAGGGUCACAGAAGCCCAGCAUCCUGGCCAUGCCACUGGGACGUCUGGAGGGCAAGGCUGGAGCUGGGCAGACCCCCAGCACCGUCUUUUCCCACCAUGCUGGGCUUCCUCUGCUGUGUGACGCAGAGUGAUCUUGAAGUGGCACCCCCUUUCUCCACAGAAAAGCCCUCUUCACCAUGGCUGAUUUUAGGACUGUCAGCAAAAGAGUCCAAUGUAGAUAAACUUCCUAUUUUCGUGAGGCCCUGUUUACCUGGCCAUUGGCCGAGAAGAUACCGGCACUCAGGUGCUGGACACCCCCUGACUAGUUUUUCCACAAACGUAUCCUGUAUAGUAGUUUGUAGAAAUGUGUAACAAGGCCUCUGGCCUUGAGCUGGGCUUCACAGAGAUGUCUACAUUUUUAAGAUAAGUUACCAACUGGGUUCCAUGGUAACAGCUGGCGGGGGAGGAAAGAAGGGGAGAAGAAGCUCCCCCCUUCUCAGGUGUUGUCCUUGAAGAGUUAACUUG